GCUUAGGAAAUGAGAUGGCAGAUAGCCUGACGUCUCUUGUAUCCCUUAUCAUCUUCCGAGCUGUGCUGCUGGUGCGCAUCCCAGUCAUUUAUUAUGGAGCAGACAAUAGCUUCUCAGAACCUUCUCCAUUAGUAUCGGCUUUGAAUGAAGAUUUAAUUGUACAUUCCUUUGGCGUUCUUGCUGCUAUGCGCGGGACCAAUGGAACCAAUGGGAUACACUGCAUGACUCACCACAGUUCCUAAUGCCACUAGAAUAAAUGAAGAGGUGCUGAAAAGAUGGAGGAGCGAGGUGGUGAGGUGACCACAUGCUUCUCACUGAGGACAUCCUUUGAACUGGGAAUCGAAGUGUUGGUUUCGUAUGAAAACAUGGACGCAGCCCU